AUGAACGCUGGCGGCGUGCCUAAUCCAUGCAAGUCGAGCGAACAGACGAGGAGCUUGCUCCUUCGACGUUAGCGGCGGACGGGUGAGUAACACGUAGGUAACCUACCUAUAAGACUGGGAUAACUUCGGGAAACCGGAGCUAAUACCGGAUAAUAUUUCGAACCGCAUGGUUCGAUAGUGAAAGAUGGCUUUGCUAUCACUUAUAGAUGGACCUGCGCCGUAUUAGCUAGUUGGUAAGGUAACGGCUUACCAAGGCAACGAUACGUAGCCGACCUGAGAGGGUGAUCGGCCACACUGGAACUGAGACACGGUCCAGACUCCUACGGGAGGCAGCAGUAGGGAAUCUUCCGCAAUGGGCGAAAGCCUGACGGAGCAACGCCGCGUGAGUGAUGAAGGUCUUCGGAUCGUAAAACUCUGUUAUUAGGGAAGAACAAACGUGUAAGUAACUGUGCACGUCUUGACGGUACCUAAUCAGAAAGCCACGGCUAACUACGUG
rnacentral:rRNA from 1 species